rnacentral:misc_RNA from 1 species
GAAAUGCGAUAAGUAAUGUGAAUUGCAGAAUUCAGUGAAUCAUCGAAUCUUUGAACGCACAUUGCGCCCGUCAGCAUUCUGGCGGGCAUGCCUGUUCGAGCAUCAUUUCAACCCUCAGGACCCCCCUUUCGCGGGGAGGGACCUGGCGUUGGGGAUCGGCCCGCCCCCCGCGGCGGCGCCGUCCCCGAAAUCUAGUGGCGGUCUCGCUGCAGCCUCCCCUGCGUAGUAGUUACAACCUCGCAUCGGAGCGCGGCGCGGCCACGCCGUAAAACCCCCGACUUUCUGAACGUUGACCUCGGAUCAGGUAGGAAUACCCGCUGAACUUAAGC